UUGCAGUCGAGCGGUAACAGGGGUAGCUUGCUACCCGCUGACGAGCGGCGGACGGGUGAGUAAUGCAUAGGAAUCUGCCCGAUAGUGGGGGAUAACCUGGGGAAACCCAGGCUAAUACCGCAUACGUCCUACGGGAGAAAGGGGGCUCCGGCUCCCGCUAUUGGAUGAGCCUAUGUCGGAUUAGCUAGUUGGUGAGGUAAUGGCUUACCAAGGCAACGAUCCGUAGCUGGUCUGAGAGGAUGAUCAGCCACAUCGGGACUGAGACACGGCCCGAACUCCUACGGGAGGCAGCAGUGGGGAAUAUUGGACAAUGGGGGCAACCCUGAUCCAGCCAUGCCGCGUGUGUGAAGAAGGCCCUCGGGUUGUAAAGCACUUUCAGCGAGGAAGAACGCCUAUCGGUUAAUACCCGGUAGGAAAGACAUCACUCGCAGAAGAAGCACCGGCUAACUCCGUGCCAGCAGCCGCGGUAAUACGGAGGGUGCAAGCGUUAAUCGGAAUUACUGGGCGUAAAGCGCGCGUAGGUGGCUUGAUAAGCCGGUUGUGAAAGCCCCGGGCUCAACCUGGGAACGGCAUCCGGAACUGUCAGGCUAGAGUGCAGGAGAGGAAGGUAGAAUUCCCGGUGUAGCGGUGAAAUGCGUAGAGAUCGGGAGGAAUACCAGUGGCGAAGGCGGCCUUCUGGACUGACACUGACACUGAGGUGCGAAAGCGUGGGUAGCAAACAGGAUUAGAUACCCUGGUAGUCCACGCCGUAAACGAUGUCGACCAGCCGUUGGGUGCCUAGAGCACUUUGUGGCGAAGUUAACGCGAUAAGUCGACCGCCUGGGGAGUACGGCCGCAAGGUUAAAACUCAAAUGAAUUGACGGGGGCCCGCACAAGCGGUGGAGCAUGUGGUUUAAUUCGAUGCAACGCGAAGAACCUUACCUACCCUUGACAUCUACAGAAGCCGGAAGAGAUUCUGGUGUG
rnacentral:rRNA from 1 species